GAAGAAGAAGGCUAUGGCGGAACUCCCACAGAGGCCAGCAGGUGGAUGAGGAGAGACCCGAGGCGGCCGCCGGUCUGAGUGUCAGGUGAACUGAACUUCAGGACAGUUAGCAUGCAGUCUGGAGCAGCCAGGGAUCGACCCAAAAACCAUCUGAUUAGUAGAUGACCUGCUCCACCUCCUGAGCCACAGCCGCCCCUUUUAGAGGUAAAGAAUCAAUUAGAAAGAGCUGGCGUCAUGUUGUGGAAGCUGCCAUCUUGCCCCCACCAUCAUACGCUGGCUGAGAUGGGCAUCGCUGCUCCGCCUUUUCAUGUUUUAUGCAUUACGCUGACGGACGGAUGGAUGGACAAUGAAUGCUUUCUCGUCCUUCUUGUCAUGCACCAUGGAAGUGUCUGAGGGGCUUUUCCACUUGGAAUCGGGAUACUGUGUCCACACUUCAGAGGUGGAGUUUCCAGCAUCUCACCUGGGCCUCAUCUGCAAACAAUCAGCAGGAGGGCUUCUUAAACCAGCGCUGCCUGCUACUCCUCGCCAGUUUGUUCUGCCAUCUCCAGUGCUUCUCCAGUGGGACUGAAGCCAUCCAUCCCACCAGCCAGCGGCCCUUCGGGUGAGAGGAAGGGCCCCGUCGUCAUGGCGCCUGUCAACGUGGAGCCAGCCGGGCGAGUUUGUCCUAGAAAGCUUAUUUGCCAUCUUCACCUUGCUCUCUGAACGCAAGAGCUGUAUCAUCAUGGCUGAACCACUGGAGAAGCCGCUAAACAAAUCUCUGCAGAGGAGAAGAGCCACAGUUUGACCAGCUGAUCAGCUCUAUGAGUUCUCUUGCUGGGUACUGCCUGCCAUCCAUCCUGAAGACUCUGUUCGACUGGUACAAGAGGCAAAAUGGCCUGGAGGACGAGUCCCAUGAACAUCGACCCGGGGCCAAGUCAAAAAAGAGUCUCUGUUCUCCUCCUGACCUACCUGACUCUGGAGUAGUUCCUCGUCAUCGUUUUCCCUUUUAGCAAUUUGCGCCCAGGCAAACUUCAGACAGGGGUAAGUUGCACUAGUCAUAAUAAUGUGCCUGAUGAAGGUCAUCCAACUGUUGUCUUUGUCCACAAACUAAUUAUCGCUCUUAUUUUGAAGAAAGACUGGGUUUGUGCUGCUGGAAUAUCAUCUUUAGGUUGGUGUUUAAGUGGAUCAGAAAGUGUGGAACAACCUUUAAGACUUCAGUGAGAGAAUUUGUUUUUAAAGCACAAAUAAAAACAACACAUGUUCAAGUUACAUCAACCCAACAAAACCCUCCUCUGGCAUUAACAUCAGCACACAAACUGUUAGCUGCGAGCUUCAUGCCUCCAGUAGGUGUAAAGUGCGGGUGGCUCAUUUUAGUCCACUAGUAAUCUUAGCUGUAAGGGAAAACAGUUUGUGUGGAGAACAAAAGAGUGAUAUCCUUUGUUCUAUUGGUAUGAUAUGAGGUAUAAAGUAACCCCUGAAUAUCACCAGAAGUCCCCAAAAUACUGACCAUUUCCAGAUUUGCAAAUUGCAAAUCCAAACAAUGCAAAAUUGUUCAUUAUCACAAAAUAUACAAAGUGUAAAGUACAAAAACUACGCAGUACAAAUCUGUGAAGCAGAACUGUCGGCUUGCACACUUUUCCUCAGUUCAAAACCGCUUAAAUACUGUUUAAUACUGUAUGAACUGCAUAACGCUGUUUGAUAGUCCCAGCCAGCAUGAAAAGCAUCUCUUUAGGUCUGAACCUGGUGGCUUUCCUGGUGAUUGUAUUCUCCUACUGCAGUAUGUUCUGCUCCAUCUUUAAAACCGGCAUCACUGCCACCGACCUGAGGAGCAGACUGCACAGAGAUGUAGCUAUGGCCAGCAGGUUUUUCUUCAUAGUGUUCUCUGAUGCCCUCUGCUGGAUUCCUAUAUUUUUGGUGAAAGUCCUCCCGCUGCUGGAGGUGCAGAUACCUGGUAAGAAGUGAAACAGCUGCCUUAUAGUAUCUUAGAGGUUUUACAUGGAUUUUUAAUAUAGGUCACUGUGUUACUUUAUAGAAUAGUUUGCUGAAAAGCAUCAACACAGUUCAAUUUCUCUAAAUGUCAGUCGCUUGUGAAAUGUUUCCUUCCUCGGGAUACUAUCUCCAGCUGGGUUGUCAUCUUCAUCCUCCCCAUCAACAGUGCCUUCAACCCCAUCCUGCUCACCUUGACCACCAGAGAGCAGGUGGAAGUUUUACUCUGUCACUGGCAGAGGAAACACACAUUAAAGAAAGACGGCAAAAGCCUUACCUCGUCCAGAUCUUUAUGGAGACGUCACAGGGUCUGUGCUACAGCCACCCGUUUACCUCCAGCAGGUGUCACUUAUAAGCACAGAACCUCGCUAUGCCUGAUGAUGUAUUUGUAGAGAAACAGCAUUUUGUAAGCUACUUUUUAUGGUUUUACUCCAUCUUUAAGAACAAAGUGUGCUUCAACAAGGCUUCAACAGACUUUUGCUUGUAAAUAAUUAGCAGUCACUGUGCCGUCUCAUCGCCCUCUGACAUUUAUAAAAUGUGAUGACAACCCCAGAAACAAACACCAACCACCCUCAGCAGAUGACUGUCUCAAC